UACGUAGGCAGCGAGCGUUGUUCGGAGUUACUGGGCGUAAAGGGUGUGUAGGCGGUUGUUUAAGUUUUGUGUGAAAUCUCCCGGCUCAACUGGGAGGGUGCGCCGAAUACUGAAUGACUAGAGUGCGGGAGAGGAAAGUGGAAUUCCUGGUGUAGCGGUGAAAUGCGUAGAUAUCAGGAGGAACACCGGUGGUGUAGACGGCUUUCUGGACCAUAACUGACGCUGAGACACGAAAGCGUGGGUAGCAAACAGG
rnacentral:rRNA from 1 species